rnacentral:rRNA from 1 species
CGCACGGCUGAGUAACACGUGGGAAUCUGUCGUCCAGUGGGGGAUAACGCAUCGAAAGAUACGCUAAUCCCGCAUACGUUCCGGAAGGAAGAAAGGCGCAAGUCGCUGGAUGAGGAGCCUGCGGCCCAUCAGGUAGUUGGAGAGGUAACGGCUCACCAAGCCAAUGACGGGUAGCUGGUCUGUGAGGACAACCAGCCAGACUGGGACUGAGAACGGCCCAGACUCCUACGGGAGGCAGCAGUAAGGAAUUUUCGUCAAUGGGGGAAACCCUGAACGAGCAACGCCGCGUGGAGGAUGACGGUUUUCGGAUUGUAAACUCCUUUUGUAUGGGACGAUAAUGACGGUACCAUACGAAUAAGCCCCGGCUAACUCUGUGCCAGCAGCCGCGGUAAUACAGAGGGGGCAAGCGUUGUCCGGAGUUACUGGGCGUAAAGCGCACGCAGGCGGUUGCGCAAGUGGGAUGUGAAACCACCGUGCUUAACACGGUGACGCCAUGCCAAACUGCACGACUUGAGUGGUGGAGAGGUUGUUCGAAUUGCCGGUGUAGUGGUGAAAUGCGUAGAGAUCGGCAGGAAGACCAAGGGCGAAAGCAGACAACUGGCCACCAACUGACGCUCAGGUGCGAAAGCGUGGGGAGCGAACUGGAUUAGAUACCCAGGUAGUCCACGCUGUAAACGAUGUAUGCUCGGUAUUUUGUGCUGUUACGGCAUGGGUACCUCAGGAAACCCGGUAAGCAUACCGCCUGGGAAGUACGAACGCAAGUUUAAAACUCAAAGGGAUUGACGGGGCCCCGCACAAGCAGCGGAGCGUGUGGUUUAAUUCGAUGCAACGCGCAGAACCUUACCAGCUUUUGACAUGUCCGGUAUGGUCGACAGAGAUGUCUUCCUUCCCGCAAGGGGCCGGAACACAGGUGCUGCAUGGCUGUCGUCAGCUCGUGUCGUGAGAUGUGGGGUUAAGUCCCGCAACGAGCGCAAC